rnacentral:tRNA from 1 species
AUCGCGGGGUGGAGCAGUUCGGUAGCUCGUCGGGCUCAUAACCCGAAGGUCGCAGGUUCAAAUCCUGCCCCCGCAAC